rnacentral:lncRNA from 1 species
GUUGCCCAUUGUGGUUCUUUAGUCCCAGCAUUUAGGAGGCAGAGGCCAGUGGACCUUUGUGGGUUUGAGGUCAGCCUGCUGUCAAAGCAUUCCCCAGGCCAGCCAAGGCUGCAUAGUGACAGGGUCUCAGUGUGUCUCUGGAAGGUGGAGCUUCCCUUUCUCCCACGCCCAGUUGGUCUGACUCACAUGGAGGGAGCUACUCUCAGGUCACUGCUUUCCGUCACUGCACAGGACACCAUCAGAAAUGAGAUCGCAAAUGAGAAAAGUCCCUCACUGAAUGCUAUGUGUAUCAACAUAACUGAAUGAAAAAAAUUAAAUUCUAGAAAAUAUUUACUAAAUUACUUCUUAUUUGGAAUUCAGUCAAAUCCACACCAACAGAAAUAUCAAUUACAAACAAUUAUGAGAGGCUGUGGAUGUGGAAAUCUUUUUGUUGUAAAAAGAUUUAUCAUCCCAGUGCACGUAGGUGGUGCACUUUCAUGCCCAUCAAAACAAAUAAAUAUUUAAAAUAAAGAAAUGCUGGAGAGAUGGCUCAUUGGUUAAGAGCACUCACUGUCUGUUCUUCAGAGGAACCAGGUUCAAUUCCCACCACCCACAUAGCACUGUCUGUAAUUCCAGUUGCAUGGGAUCUGCAACCUCACACAGAUAAAUAUGAAAGCAAAACACCAGUACAUACAAAUUAAAGAAGAUUUGUCACCCUAUAACAGGAUUAGUACAAGAAUGAGAAACUCAAAUUUCUCUUUGCUUGCAUAGUCCUUUAAAGCUAGCAGGCAUAUGAGCAGAAGCAAGAAUGUUCCCUAAAUACCCUAGCUAUUUCAAUAGUUACAGCUCACAUUCUUCAUGAGAAACUAUUUUUAUUUACUAUCACUGUGUUAUAUUUUAAAUAUGCACUAUAUCCGUCAUAAUCCUCAAUUUUUAAAUUAUUGUUUGUUAUUGGGGGUUAGGUUUUUGACUGUCAAGCCUCAGAAUAGUUACUUUUCCCCACUCCAAGUUUCAGUGUGGAGUUUUCUAGUUUUUUUAGUUCAAAGACCUUUAGGAUCUAGAACAAUGGCUUAGUAUUAUUAAGAGUACUGUGUGUUCCUAUAGAGAAUACAGGUUGAAUCCCCAGCCUGUAUGAUGGCUCACAGCUGCCAGUGAUUGGCAUUCAGUUAUCUGGUCCUCUCUGGUCUCUAGAGGCACCAUGCACACGUGUGGUACACAAACGUACAUACAGCUAAAACACCCAUACACAUAAAAUGUUAUUUUUCAAGUACACUGUGCUGCUGGGGAGGUGACUGAAUGGUGCAGAACACUGGCUGUCUUUGACAAGACUCAGGUUCAAUUCCCAGCACCCACAUGGCAUUGCAUCACACAUGUGGAGCACCGCAUAUAUGUGCGGACAUGAAGCUAGGCAAACACUCAUUUACAUAAAAAUAAUUAGUAUCUCCACAAAGAAAAGAGAGGGUGUUCAUAGGCUGGAGCCGCCCACUGCAUGUACAGGCUCUCAGUUCUAUCCCCAGCACCCCUUUAAAAAAGGAUUUUUUUUUUCUUCUUUGAAACAGUGUAAGCCAGCCAAACUGUCAACAUCGUCAGCCUCUGGAGUUCUGGGAUUACAGGCAGGGACCAUCACGGUUAGCCAAGAAAAAUAAAAGUUUAAUAAAAGAAUGCAAGCAAGCUGUGCUGGUAGACAGUAAGUCCAGGUACCCUUUUCACCAUGUGCUGUAGAGCAGCUAAACUACAGAGCACACCCUCCAUCUCAAGUGAUAGCAAGAGAGAGAGAGAGGGAGAGAGACAGACAGACAGACAUUGAGACUGAGGUUCCCCCUUGUCUUUUAAACACGUGUACUAAACCUUGUGUUCUUCUGCAGAUUCUUCCCAGCAAACCCUUGCAGCUCCACUUUUGAAUCUUCCCCC